CAGGGAAUCUUGCACAAUGGGCGAAAGCCUGAUGCAGCGACGCCGCGUGGGGGAUGAAGGCCUUAGGGUCGUAAACCCCUUUCAGCAGGGACGAAAAUGACGGUACCUGCAGAAGAAGCCCCGGCCAACUACGUGCCAGCAGCCGCGGUAAGACGUAGGGGGCGAGCGUUGUCCGGAUUUAUUGGGCGUAAAGAGCUCGUAGGCGGUUGCGUAAGUCGGAUGUGAAAACUCAGGGCUCAACCCUGAGACGCCAUCCGAUACUGCGCUGACUUGAAUCCAGUAGGGGAGUGUGGAAUUCCUGGUGUAGCGGUGAAAUGCGCAGAUAUCAGGAGGAACACCUGAGGUGAAGACGGGUUGCUGGGCUGACACUGACGCUGAGGCGCGAAAGCCAGGGGAGCAAACGGGAUUAGAUACCCGAGUAGUCCCUGAGCGGGCUGGCAAGGCGCAU
rnacentral:rRNA from 1 species